rnacentral:rRNA from 1 species
GACGAACGCUGGCGGCGUGCUUAACACAUGCCAGUCGAACGGAAAGGCCCUGCUUUUGUGGGGUGCUCGAGUGGCGAACGGGUGAGUAACACGUGAGUAACCUGCCCUUGACUUUGGGAUAACUUCAGGAAACUGGGGCUAAUACCGGAUAGGAGCUCCUGCUGCAUGGUGGGGGUUGGAAAGUUUCGGCGGUUGGGGAUGGACUGGCGGGUUAUCAGCUUGUUGGUGGGGUAGUGGCUUACCCAGGCUUUGACGGGUAGCCGGCCUGAGAGGGUGACCGGCGACAUGGGGACUGAGAGACGGCCCAGACUGCUACGGGAGGCAGCAGGGGGGAAUAUUGCACAAUGGGCGGAAGCCUGAUGCAGCAACGCCGCGUGCGGGAUGACGGCCUUCGGGUUGUAAACCGCUUUCGCCUGUGACGAAGCGUGAGUGACGGUAAUGGGUAAAGAAGCACCGGCUAACUACGUG